GAUGAAGAACGUAGUGAAAUGCGAUAAUUAAUGUGAAUUGCAGAAUUCCGUGAAUCAUCGAGCCUUUGAACGCACAUUGCGCCUCAUGGCAUUCCGUGAGGCAUGCCCAUCUCAGCGUUAGAAAAUAUUCUCAAAUUUUAGUUUUGUGCUAAAAUUUGGAUCAUGUCAAAGAAGCUAUUACUAUUAUUGUGAUCGCUCUUUGGAAAUUGAUAGGUCUUUGAGUUGCUACUCAUAGAACGUGAUGAAUCUUUCUUCGUUCUAUUGUAAUUCACUCUGGUAGUCCUAAAACUUGUAUGCCUGUGGCAUAUCUUGUAAUUUGACCUGAGAUUGGGUAGGGAUACCCGCUGAACUUAAGCAUAUCAAUAAGCGGAGGA
rnacentral:misc_RNA from 1 species